rnacentral:rRNA from 1 species
AUUGAACGCUGGCGGCAGGCCUAACACAUGCAAGUCGAGCGGAUGAAGGGAGCUUGCUCCUGGAUUCAGCGGCGGACGGGUGAGUAAUGCCUAGGAAUCUGCCUGGUAGUGGGGGACGACGUUUCGAAAGGAACGCUAAUACAGCAUACGUCCUACGGGAGAAAGAAGGGGACCUUCGGGCCUUGCGCUAUCAGAUGAGCCUAGGUCGGAUUAGCUAGUUGGUGAGGUAAUGGCUCACCAAGGCGACGAUCCGUAACUGGUCUGAGAGGAUGAUCAGUCACACUGGAACUGAGACACGGUCCAGACUCCUACGGGAGGCAGCAGUGGGGAAUAUUGGACAAUGGGCGAAAGCCUGAUCCAGCCAUGCCGCGUGUGUGAAGAAGGUCUUCGGAUUGUAAAGCACUUUAAGUUGGGAGGAAGGGUUGUAGAUUAAUACUCUGCAAUUUUGACGUUACCGACAGAAUAAGCACCGGCUAACUCUGUGCCAGCCGCCGCGGUAAUAC